rnacentral:tRNA from 1 species
GGGGUUGUGGCUCAGUGGUAGAGCACUUGCCUAGCAAGUGUGAGGCCCUGGGUUCGAUCCUCAGGACCACA